UGCACUCUGCACAAAAAAAGCUUGGUACUACAACAUAAAAUAUGCAAUUUUCUUUUGCACAGGUCUUAAAUUUCAUUCAUGUUUUGUCUGUCAUGGCUAGAGUUUGUACAUAUAAUACAAACAAAUACAAUAUUGUUCAAAGGGAUCAGUCAGGAGAAGGACUCCAAAAAAAUGCACGUCACAGAAUAAAGUGAAGACAGAUGUGAGUAAAUUGAUUAAAUAAGUUAUAGUAGUUACAUUGGGAAACAUGUUUCUUCAUGAUGCGUCUCCCAGAAAAGGUGCAAAUUGUUUUCAAACCUGAUUUACCCCAAUUUUUUUACAUCACAAAAUGAAGAAUCUAAUGUUUAAGUGUUUUCUACUAGCUAAGGUUAGCUAAGGUUUGUUUAUUGGGUGUAAAUAAAAAGCCACACUUCAGUUUUUUUGUUUUUUUUUUAAUCUCCACACAAGGCAAAAAAAGGAACCAAAUGAAAAAACACUGGAGGAUUGUUUGUAUUUGGUGUGUGAUGUUUGCUUUUGUCCACAAGGUGGCAGUGUCAAUGAAUAAAUUAAUCCACUCCCACCAGUACAAGAAAUUUAAUUUAGCUUCAUGUUUUUUUUGACUCUCUAGGUUACGUGUUAAGACGUCCCUAAUUUAACUAAAUGCAAAAAUGUAAAGAUUUACUUCGCAUGGAGCUGCAUUUUUAAUAAAAAUAAUCACAAUCUCAAAGUGAUUGUUUUUAAAGAUAAAACUAUUUGAUGCUGCCGUUCUUUGCAAAAAUGUGGCGUCUUUCUAUAUUUACUGAUUUAAAUUAACUCUUGUUUUCUUCUUUGGCAUUUCUCCGGCUCUUUUUUUUGCAUUCAUUCAUCUUCCUGUCAUCAGCGACCCGGUCAAGACGCUCCGUCCAUCACUCUGCCUUCCUUUUACAGGAACACAGAGGUGAGGGGCGACGUGUACUACUGUAGAAUGGAGGCUUGAAAAAAGGUCAUGAACUCUUUGUCCUUCCUAAGAUUGUCAUAAAGGUAUUUUACAAGUUGAAUGAUGUUAAUUCUGGCCUUUCUUUUACCAAUUAUUCAAUGGAGAAUUUAUGAAUUUCAAAUAUUUCACAUUUUUACUUAUUUAUUUGUAUUUUGAAGCUCACUGUUCGCAAAAAUCUCAAAUUUUUUCUCUAUUUUUGCCUUUUUUUAAGUUUACUGGGGGACUUUUGGGUUAAAUCUGUGCUGCUCGGUGAGCUUUGAGGUCCGAAUUAAUCCUGACCUUGACCUCAGUGAGUCUGUUUACCAGAUUAAGAUUCACUGGAAAGAGAAAACUCGAGUUUUGCUGCUCCUUCGCUUACAGCUGUGCCUUUGGUUAGGGAAGGUCAGUGGACUUAAAAUAGAUAAGACAUUAAAUAUGUUUAUUUUACAGAGUUCAUCUUUCAGAUGAUACUAAAUACUGUACAUAGCCAUUUAUAUCGCCUUGCCCGCCUGACACACUGAGCCGUUUUGUAAUUUAUGACAGCUAUUAUAAAACUGCACAAGGAUUUGGUUAAUGACACUCUGGUAACAGAAUGGCCCUCAUGAAAUAUAAGCCUCCUGAUUCAUGGAUGUGUGCCAGUCAAAAUGGCAAGGCAGAUGUUCUUGUGGACGCAAAUAUUGGUAAUUUAAUGCUGAACAAUGUGUUUUACUGCAACUGCAAUUCAUCACAGUGAUUAUUUAAUUAAGCUGGAAACAUUAUUCAGUGGAAAGCCUUGAGUAAAUAAAGAAAUCACAUCAGGGUGUCUGCGCUUCCUUUAAAAAUAUAAAAUUUAUGUAUCAGAAGUUUAUUAAAAUUCAAAUAAGAACAAUAAAAAUGUCUCAAACUUUAAAAAAUGCAAGUUAGACUUGCAUUUGAUACGUUUGAUGACAUUAAAAUCUGCGGCGGCUGGACUAUUUAAAGUAGACACAUUCAAUGUUAUUGCGUACAUCCGGGUAUUUCGCGCAUGCGCACAUUCCUGGAGUGUAGUGGGGGGGCCAAAAAGACGUUUCUUUUACUACCUACGCAUAGACACGCUGCCGCGUUAUAACAGUUAACAAAAUGAAACCCAGAAAUUAGGCAGACAGGAAAGAGGGCGAGGAGAUGCGCCAAAGGUCGCCGGGAGUCGAACCAGCGACAUCCGGGUCGAGGACUAAGGCCUCCCAACAUGGAGCGUGCUAACCCCCUGCACCACCGCAGCCCGAGAAACCAACUGAUGUUCAGUGGUACCUUCACACUACUUAAUUAAGUUGAUCCAACUCAUAAAAAAUUAAGUUAGCUCAACAAACAUGCUUCAUGCUGAAAGAAAGCUAUUUAAUCGUGUGGAAAUCCUUUCCAUGAUUUAAUUACGUUAAUUCAAAGACAUUUUUUUAAGUUACAUUACAUUAAGUGUUUUAAGACAGGACUGGGUGAAAGGGUAGA